rnacentral:rRNA from 1 species
AUUGAACGCUGGCGGCAUGCCUUACACAUGCAAGUCAAACGGCAGCAUGGAGAGCUUGCUCUCUGAUGGCGAGUGGCGAACGGGUGAGUAAUGCAUCGGAACGUACCGUGUAAUGGGGGAUAACGUAGCGAAAGUUACGCUAAUACCGCAUACGACCUGAGGGUGAAAGCAGGGGAUCGCAAGACCUUGCGUUAUACGAGCGGCCGAUGUCAGAUUAGCUAGUUGGUGAGGUAAAGGCUCACCAAGGCGACGAUCUGUAGCGGGUCUGAGAGGAGGAUCCGCCACACUGGGACUGAGACACGGCCCAGACUCCUACGGGAGGCAGCAGUGGGGAAUUUUGGACAAUGGGGGCAACCCUGAUCCAGCCAUGCCGCGUGAGUGAAGAAGGCCUUCGGGUUGUAAAGCUCUUUCGGCGGGGAAGAAAUCGCACAGGCUAAUACUCUGUGUGGAUGACGGUACCGGCAUAAGAAGCACCGGCUAACUACGUGCCAGCAGCCGCCGUAA